AGUUUGAUCAUGGCUCAGAUUGAACGCUGGCGGCAUGCCUUACACAUGCAAGUCGAACGGCAGCACGGGAGCUUGCUCCUGGUGGCGAGUGGCGAACGGGUGAGUAAUACAUCGGAACGUACCCUGAAGUGGGGAUAACGUAGCGAAAGUUACGCUAAUACCGCAUAUUCUGUGAGCAGGAAAGAGGGGGAUCGCAAGACCUCUUGCUUUAGGAGCGGCCGAUGUCGGAUUAGCUAGUUGGUGAGGUAAAGGCUCACCAAGGCGACGAUCCGUAGCGGGUCUGAGAGGAUGAUCCGCCACACUGGGACUGAGACACGGCCCAGACUCCUACGGGAGGCAGCAGUGGGGAAUUUUGGACAAUGGGCGCAAGCCUGAUCCAGCCAUGCCGCGUGAGUGAAGAAGGCCUUCGGGUUGUAAAGCUAUUUCGGUGGGGAAGAAAUUGCUUCGGUUAAUACCUGGAGUAGAUGACGGUACCCGCAUAAGAAGCACCGGCUAACUACGUG
rnacentral:rRNA from 1 species